UAGGCUGCAGCUGUGGCGGCGGGCUCGCGCUGCUCACACAUCACUGAGGACCAGCGGCGCGCGCUCACACACACGCACACUCCCAAACAAAGAGAAGCACGCGACACAGCCCAGCAUCAGACUCGAGUCCUGAACCUGGUCUCUGACAGAACCGCCCCCCCACCCCAGACCCGCACCAGAACCAGAACCGUCCUCCGACACAAAAAGAGCCACCAUGACAACUAACGGCGCCUCCAACGGAACCAGCGACAUGCUGCAGAUCCAGUUCGGUCUCAUCAACUGCGGGAACAAAUACCUAACGGCGGAGAUGUUCGGCUUCAAGAUCAACGCGUCCGCCACCAGCAUGAAGAAGAAGCAGAUCUGGACCUUGGAGCAGAGCGGCGACGACUCCAGCGGCAACGUCUUCUACCUCAAGUCACAUCUGGGCCGUUACAUCGGCGCUGACAAGGACGGGAACGUCACGGGAGACAGCGAGAGCCCCGGCUCCGAGUGCCGCUUCAUCAUCACCGCGCACGACGACGGCCGCUGGUCCCUGCAGUCCGAGCAGCACGGCCGCUACCUGGGCGGCACCGAGGACCGGAUCAUCUGCUUCGCCCAGACCGCCUCGGUGGCGGAGAAAUGGAGCGUGCACAUCGCCAUGCACCCGCAGGUGAACAUCUUCAGCAUGACGCGCAAGCGCUACGCGCACCUGAGCUCCAAGGUGGACGAGAUCGCCAUCGACCGGGACGUGCCGUGGGGGGUGGACUCCAUGAUCACGCUGGUGUUCCGAGAGCAGCGCUACCACCUGCAGACCUCCGACAACCGCUUCCUGAAGAACGACGGCGCGCUGGUCGCCUCCACGGACAAGAGCACGGGCUACACGCUGGAGUUCCGAUCCGGCAAGGUGGCCUUCAGGGACUGCAGCGGGAGGUACCUGGCCCCCUCCGGGCCCUCCGGCACCAUGAAGUCCGGAAAGAGCGCGCGCGUGGGCAAGGAUGAGCUGUUCGUGCUGGAGCAGAGCCACCCGCAGGUGGUGCUGACCGCUGCCAACGAGAGGAACGUCUCCACCCGGCAAGGUAUGGACCUCUCAGCCAAUCAGGAUGAGGAAGGUGACCAGGAAGUGUUCCAGGUGGAGAUUUGCCGUGAAAACAGGAAGUGUGCGUUUCGGACCGCUGCUGGGAAGUACUGGACUCUCACUGCCAACGGUGGGCUGCAGUGCACCGCCUCCACCAAGUCGGCUAAUUGCUACUUUGACAUUGAGUGGCGUGGGAAGAGGCUGACUCUUCGGGCCGCCAAUGGGAAAUACGUGGCCGCUAAGAAGAAUGGACAGUUAGCAGCAACCAUGGACUCUGCCGGCGAGACAGAGGAGUUCAUCAUGAAACUGAUCAACCGCCCCAUCAUCGUGCUGCGCGGUGAGCACGGCUUCAUCGGCUGCAGGAAGGUGACAGGGACUCUGGACUCCAACCGCUCCUCCUAUGACUACUUCACUCUGGAGUUCAGAGACGGGGGCUACAGCCUGCAAGACACCACCGGCAAAUACUGGAUGGUGGGGAACGAGCAGUCGGUGGUGAGCAGCAGCGACACGCCGGUUGACUUCCUCUUCGAGUUCUGUGACUACAACAAGCUGGCCAUCCGCCACGCUGCCGACGGCAAGUACCUUCGUGGCGACCACGCUGGCGUGCUUAAGGCCAACGCUGACGACCUGGAGACAGCCACACUCUGGGAGUACUGAGGGAUGAUGGGAAAGCACACUGCUGCGAUGCGAGGGAAUGAACGAACGAACGAAUGAAUGAAAGAAAGUGUGAUUAAAAUGAUGUGGCACAGCAGCACUACCCGUCCAUUCAUCUACCUGUCCACCACUUCCUAUAUUAUAUCGUUAUGACUGUUUUUGUUGCUGAACUGCACAGAGAGAAAAGAAACGAUAGAAGGACGGAAUGAGAGAUGUCUUUUCAUUUUUUGACUCCCUUAUCCCCUUUUUAUCCUUACUUUUCCCAGCUCUGCUCUGCAGUGCCAACGUUCAUCUGUUGCCAUAUUUAUCAAGGGGCCGUACACCCCUCCUGCCACCUACCCCCACUUUGAUCCACUUUACUGCUUGACCUGUCACCCUCCCCCUCCUUCACCUUAGAACCAGACUGCCCCUCUGCUAGAGCGCAGUGUUCUCCCUGGUCUGUUUGUGUUUGUGUAUUUAUGGCGUCUGUCCUGGUCUGGUGGAGCCGUUUCCACCUGAUUUAAUGAUUUAAUCUCACAAACAAACAAACAAACAAACACUCCUGGAUUAAGUCCGUUUCAGCUGCUUCACGACGAUGAGUAAAUGUUUGUUUUUUUUUAACGCAGGUUGGCUUUUGUGGGAAAAAAAACGGUCUUCGGCCUUUGCCCGACCGAGCUGAGCGUGUUUGUGUUCACAUGCAGGACUCGUUGCCUCGGUGCGACGACUAAAUGGUAAAACUGGAGUAGAUCUUAUGAUGGUAAAGAUAUCACACACGAUGUAACCGAUGGGUUCGUUAUUCCUCUGUUCAUCUCAACUAUAACGUAUUCAAAUGUAAAGCAGGUUUUCUUUUCGUACUGCAGCUCUGUGGUUGGUUCCCUUUGCUGAACCAAACAGGAUGUAGGAAGUUUAAAAAAAAAAGUCAUCCUCUUCCCUUUCCUCUAAAUAAUAACCCAAUUGUCCUAGGAGCAGUAUUGUGACACUCAAACAUGGAAUAGUCACAUUUAUAAAUAGGGGAAUAAUAUUAAGUGGAUGAAGCAAUUAGUAAGGUUCUGGGAAACAACUGGAAGUGUUCCGCUGGUUUCUGUUUUUUUUUUUAAGGUCUGUUUUGUCAUUCGUAUUUAGAGGAAAACUGAUAUAUAUGAUAUAACAGAGAUGGGGAUCAUUACUGUUGUUCUUUAUCAAUGAUUUUCCUUCAGCUAUCAUAGAAAAUUACACAAUCGUUUAGAUCCAAUAGAAACAAAAAACGUGCCAAGAUUGAACAAUAAAAUACGCAGAAAAGAAUUAUACUUAUGUGAUAAAUCAAUUCUGGAAAAGCAUUAGGGAAAAACACAUCUUUCAAAAUCAGUUGAACACUUCCUGUGUUUCCCACUGACGGCUACGUCCACUUUUUUUUUUCUACGUUAUUUGAAUCACUGAUGUUUGCUGCACUUAAAUGUCUUACACAGAGAAACACCUGACUUCACUUCUUUUUACUCUCUCCGAGGCACAGACAUUAUCAUGGUAGUACAGUUCGAAGCGGAGCGAGGUGACGUGUGAACCGUUUCUUUUGAAAGCUGCUUUUUUCUAAUCCCUCGACCAAACCUUAAACCUUUGCCUUUAUCUGCACCAAACCUGUGAUACUGGACAAAAACAGCUGCCAUCUCACCUGGUGCUAAACGAAAAUGUCGUCAUCCGUUUGUGCACUCACUGAAGAGCCUUGACACGUAACCAAAAGAGCCGUGAGAGUGCCCGUAGAAAAAUAUUAAAUAACACUAAUUCUGCUUUGAUUUUUCGUUGGGUUUUAAUUUCCGUUUUGAUCUUUUGGCGGAGCCAUGAAGGCUUGUGACUAAAUUGUGUUUGUAUUUUAUUUACUUUCUAUCUCAUCAGUGCUGUGUUGACGGGAUGAGUUUGAGCAGAAGCAGAAUGAUGAUGUUGUUGUUGUUUCUUUAACUGGAAUGUCUGUUACGCAGUCUUGUAGCAAGUUGCACCCACAGGUCCUGCCCUCUUUGAUUCUCUGCCCUUUCUAAUCCUGCUUUCUCCACAAUUCACUUAGCAACAGAAGUAUUUGCUUCAACAUUAUUAUUUUUUAUUUUAAACAGUACAGUUAGAGCUUGUCUUGGCCUAGAAUUAUUAGGUCUUUGCACAAUUUUAAACAAUCCUCUAAAAUAGAAAUCUGUGCAGACGCCAUUGUCGUGGCUCUGAAUCCCAACAUUUUUUGUUUCUGUAAAAAGGGCUGAGGAUCUCAUGUAAGUAAAAGGACUGGUUAUUUUGGUUGGAAACCAGCAUCUCCAAGAUAACCCAGACCAUGGCUUAGACAAACGGAUGUGGAAGGGUAACCAUGUGGUAAUGACUGUGCCUUACUCUUGAGUUUUUGCGCAGUUCUUUGGGGAAAAAGUAAAAAUGGCCACACCUUUGCUUUGUAUAACUGGAACUUCCUUUUGUAUUAUUUUGUAUAAUUUUUUUUUUCUUUCACUAUUGUGGAUUAAUCUCUCUCGUGCCAUUGGUUCACCUGAAAUCCAACGACCAAUAAAACUGGGAUUUGAAAAGCUA